GAUAGUGGCAACGUUGAAGGCUCUACGACGGGAGUAACCCGUCGGCGACAGUGGAAGCUUUAGUUGCAGCAAGAACGGUCUCCAAGGGCGAUGGCGGGGACGGCGGAAACGACCCACGACGACAGUAGCGGCGUCCUCUUGCUCGAUCUCUCCUCCUCUGCAUCACUCUCCUUUCUCUGAUUUUCCAUUUCUGAAAUUUGUUACGUUGAAG
rnacentral:lncRNA from 1 species